GGCACAUUAGUGUCGGGCGUGACGCACCCGCUCCCCUCAGUCCCCUGUGCAACAGGGAGGGCACUUGUAACCCCCGUAGGAGGGU
rfam:Cell fusing agent virus strain Galveston, complete genome